AGAGUUUGAUCAUGGCUCAGGAUGAACGCUGGCGGCGUGCCUAACACAUGCAAGCCAAGCGAUUCUCUUCGGAGAAGAGCGGCGGACGGGUGAGUAACGCGUGGGUAACCUGCCCUGUACACACGGAUAACAUACCGAAAGGUAUGCUAAUACGAGAUAAUAUACUUUUAUCGCAUGGUAGAAGUAUCAAAGCUCCGGCGGUACAGGAUGGACCCGCGUCUGAUUAGCUAGUUGGUAAGGUAACGGCUUACCAAGGCGACGAUCAGUAGCCGACCUGAGAGGGUGAUCGGCCACAUUGGAACUGAGACACGGUCCAAACUCCUACGGGAGGCAGCAGUGGGGAAUAUUGCACAAUGGGCGAAAGCCUGAUGCAGCAACGCCGCGUGAGCGAUGAAGGCCUUCGGGUCGUAAAGCUCUGUCCUCAAGGAAGAUAAUGACGGUACUUGAGGAGGAAGCCCCGGCUAACUACGUG
rnacentral:rRNA from 1 species